rnacentral:rRNA from 1 species
AACGUAGGAGACAAACGUUAUCCGGAGUUACUGGGCGUAAAGGGCGUGCAGGCGGUUUCUUAAGUUCGUCGUGAAAUCGCCCGGCUUAACCGGGCGGGGUCGAUGGAUACUGGGGAACUAGAGGGCGGUAGAGGCGUGUGGAAUUCCGGGUGUAGUGGUGAAAUGCGUAGAUAUCCGGAGGAACACCAGUGGCGAAGGCGACACGCUGGGCCGUACCUGACGCUAAGACGCGACAGCAUGGGGAGCGAAC